UACAGAGGGUGCGAGCGUUAAUCGGAAUUACUGGGCGUAAAGCGCACGUAGGCGGCUUGGUAUGUCGGGUGUGAAAUCCCCGGGCUCAACCUGGGAACUGCAUCCGAAACUGCCUUGCUAGAGUAUGGGAGAGGGAAGUGGAAUUUCCGGUGUAGCGGUGAAAUGCGUAGAUAUCGGAAGGAACAUCAGUGGCGAAGGCGACUUCCUGGACCAAUACUGACGCUCAGGUGCGAAAGCG
rnacentral:rRNA from 1 species